rnacentral:rRNA from 1 species
GACGAACGCUGGCGGCGUGCCUAACACAUGCAAGUCGAGCGAGGAAUGACUGGUAGCUUGCUACCGGUUAUUUCUAGCGGCGGACGGGUGAGUAACGCGUGAGCAACCUGCCUUUAUCAGGGGGAUAACGCAUCGAAAGAUGUGCUAAUACCGCGUAAGACCACAGCCUCACAUGGGGCAGGGGUCAAAGGAGGAAUCCGGAUAAAGAUGGGCUCGCGUCCGAUUAGCUAGUUGGUGAGAUAACAGCCCACCAAGGCGACGAUCGGUAGCCGACCUGAGAGGGUGAUCGGCCACAUUGGAACUGGGAGACGGUCCAGACUCCUACGGGAGGCAGCAGUGGGGAAUAUUGGGCAAUGGGCGAAAGCCUGACCCAGCAACGCCGCGUGAGGGAAGAAGGGUUUCGGCUCGUAAACCUCUGUCCUAUGGGACGAAGGAAGUGACGGUACCAUAGGAGGAAGCCCCGGCUAACUACGUGCCAGCAGCCGCGGUAAUACGUAGGGGGCGAGCGUUGUCCGGAAUGAUUGGGCGUAAAGGGCGCGUAGGCGGCCUGCUAAGUCUGGAGUGAAAGUCCUGCUUUCAAGGUGGGAAGUGCUUUGGAUACUGGUGGGCUGGAGUGCAGGAGAGGAAAGCGGAAUUACCGGUGUAGCGGUGAAAUGCGUAGAGAUCGGUAGGAACACCAGUGGCGAAGGCGGCUUUCUGGACUGAAACUGACGCUGAGGCGCGAAAGCGUGGGGAGCAAACAG